UAGGGUACAACAAAAUGCUUUGCCAUUAUCAUUUAUCCUCCAGAGUGUGGGCGUAAAUAAUGUGCCCACAUUUGUGAAACUCAGAGGGAUCUCCAUGGAAACGCUUAAUCGCUGACAUUUAAACUCCUGGUGCUGAUAAGGAAAGCUGCUGCCUCUGACCUAUUGAGAACAGUUUAUCAAGAUGGACCAUCAGCAUUCUUACAGGCAGCCCACAGAAGGGAUCUGAUGCAUCUCCUGCUGUCGUCAUCGCCACCCUGGAUGACACCCCGGUUUUAACCUGCUCCCGAGAUCUGGGCUUCAACCUUUGGACUCUCAACCACCCUUCAGCCUGGAGAACAUGGGACAACUGACUGGGAAUGACUGACCGGGAUACACACCCCUUAGAUGCCCUGCUGCCAUCCCCAAACCCCACACCUCAUGCCUCACCUCCUGGCAUGAACCCCCAAAUCUCUAUGACCUUUGCCAGCUUGAAGCAGUUAAGAGGAGAUCGGCGCCCCUUUUCCCACAUGCCUUUGGAGGUGACUGCUUGAGGGGGGGAUGAAGAGGGGACCCCUGAACUUGGAAAAUCUAGAAGGAGAAAAUCUUCAAUUCUGUCUCAAUAAGAGACUUUGCCCUAUUUCUUUUUCCUUAAAUGAAUUUACGUUCCAACUGCUUGAGGGGGGAAUGAUGCGGGAAAGCUUGCUUUCUAGAUUCCCACCCUCUCCUAGUUAAUAAUGUAAAUUGCCCUUUAACUCACAAAUCCUGGUCCCUUUGAAUUCCAAUAGAAGAUCUGACCUGUUCCCAGCCCCACCCAGAUAUGAGCCAACUUUGGGGCUACACCCGAAAGCCCCUCGAGCUAAGUCUCCUAUUAUAAAAAGGCCUCGCUGGGAACCCCUCUUGGCAGAGAUUCCAAACAUGGCUACCAUGUGAGGAUCUCUGUCCACUGGACCCUCUGUCCAGUGCCCUCCUUAUCUCUACCUUCGCCUAUACUUUAACUUUGCUUAUCUAAUAAUAAACCUCUUUUAUUAAUCUA